AUGAAGGAUACGUAAAAGAACAGCAAUCGAAGAAAUUACCAAAAAUAACAUUGUGGAAAAAGUUCGCUUGCUUGGACCUAGAACAAAUACUGUGUUCCAACAAGCUGCAAUCAGUGUACAUCAACUCUUCUUUUCAGAGGAGUACCUCCCAAACCACUGUCUGCCAUCACGGAAGAGAAGAGAAGCUGCAUGAAAAUGCCACCUCCAAGUCAUAUACCAACCCAACUUGAAAAUGCACCGCUGCUACUUCAUUAAUGCUUGAAACUCCUCCGCAACAAUGGCAGGCUAGCGUGGAAGGCUAGGUCCCGUAGGAUCCACAAAGAGCUGGUGUGGUGGAUUCGUAAUUGGCUCGGAGG